AUGAACGCUAGCGGCAGGCCUAAUACAUGCAAGUCGAACGGUAACAUGAGUAGCAAUACUUGAUGACGAGUGGCGCACGGGUGCGUAACGCGUAUGCAAUCUACCUUUAACUGGUGAAUAGCCCGAAGAAAUUCGGAUUAAUACACCAUAGUAUUAUUGAUUGGCAUCAAUUAAUAAUUAAAACUCCGGUGGUUAGAGAUGAGCAUGCGUGACAUUAGCUAGUUGGUGAGGUAAUGGCUCACCAAGGCUACGAUGUCUAGGGGAUCUGAGAGGAUUAACCCCCACACUGGUACUGAGACAGGGACCAGACUCCUACGGGAGGCAGCAGUAAGGAAUAUUGGACAAUGGUCGCAAGACUGAUCCAGCCAUGCCGCGUGCAGGAUGACGGCCCUAUGGGUUGUAAACUGCUUUUAUACGGGAAAAAACCCCUCUACGUGUAGAGGGCUGAUUGUACUGUAAGAAUAAGGAUCGGCUAACUCCGU
rnacentral:rRNA from 1 species